GAUGAACGCUCGCGGCAGGCCUAACACAUGCAAGUCGAGGGAGAAGCCCUUUCGGGGGCAGAAACCGGCGCACGGGUGCGUAACGCGUAUGCAACCUACCUUUCACAGGGGGAUAGCCCGAAGAAAUUUGGAUUAAUACCCCAUAAUAUUAUUGGAUGGCAUCAUUUGAUAAUUAAAACUGCGGUGGUGAAAGAUGGGCAUGCGUCCUAUUAGCUAGUUGGAGUGGUAACGGCACCCCAAGGCUACGAUAGGUAGGGGUCCUGAGAGGGAGAUCCCCCACACUGGUACUGAGACAGGGACCAGACUCCUACGGGAGGCAGCAGUGAGGAAUAUGGGGCAAUGGUCGGAAGACUGAACCAGCCAUGCCGCGUGCAGGAAGAAUGCCUUAUGGGUUGUAAACUGCUUUUAUAUGGGAAGAAUAAGGCGUACGUGUACGUUGAUGACGGUACCAUAUGAAUAAGCAGCGGCUAACUCCGUG
rnacentral:rRNA from 1 species